rnacentral:tRNA from 3 species
GCCGGAGUGGCGGAAUUGGCAGACGCAGCAGACUCAAAAUCUGCCGUUGGCAACAACGUACCGGUUCAAGUCCGGUCUUCGGCACCA